rnacentral:lncRNA from 1 species
ACGUGUGUUUAAGAAAUUGUUGUGGCUAAACCAAAUUAUCAGUUGUCCCAACCAGUAAAAUGUCCUGGCUGUUUUCCUAAGCGAUGACAGGACUAUGUUUAGUGAAAGAGAAGUGCCAGCUGUCUUGCUAACAGAACUCUGACAUUCUCUUUAACUGAACGAUGCAGGAAAAUUGCAAGUUGCCCUUCACUGCCCUUUGGAACAAGAGCCAUCACUAGUCGAAGAAAAUAUUUGAGUUGAAAGCAGUGAGAAUGGAGUCACCAGAAUAUUGGUACAACACAAGGGCAAUGAAAUAUGCUGCUCUUGAAUGCAACAGUCAUACUGUUCGUAUUUAUUCAGAAAUUAGCCCAAUGGAAUACAGUGGGAGCUGCAUGGCACAAUGAUUAAAACUGCAGUACUGCAUUAAGACUCUGCUCACAACCUGAGUUUGAACCCAACAAGCUCAGGUAGCUGGCUUGAGGUUGACUCAGCCUUCCAUCCUUCCACAGUUGGUAAAUUGAGUACCCAGCGUGCUGGAGGGGGAGGCACAAUGUGUAACCUGCAUAAUUAAACUGUAAACUGCCCAGAGAUAGCAUU